UCAGCCCCUCGCGGUAACGGUCGGUAGCGGCCCGCGCGCGCCGCCCGCCGGGGGCUCGCGUCGGCCACGAGGGAGCGUCCUCGGCCCGCGCUCCCGCGACGCGAAGGAGAGGUGAUAAGUAUGAUGCUUCCAUAAUACAUUUGGAUGUUUUCAGCUAAGUUGACUCUCGAAUUAUGGGGUUCCACCAAAUGCUGGCUGAACCUUGUCCUUGCACAUCCCGGGACUGAUCCGCAAACUCUACAGUUCAUAAUGGAGCUACUGUACUGGCUCUUGGAAGGAGGAGAUUCUGAAGAUAGGGAGAAUUCAUUUUACUGUGUUUAGUCGGACUUCCUGUGAUAACUUAAUAUAGGAACAAAUUAGCAUCUAAUUCUAUUUUCCAUGUGACCUCAACCAGUUGAAGAAUAAUACCACCACUGUGGAGGGGCGGCUAUUUGAUAGUUUAUGUAGACUCUAGCAUCAAGUGUUUGCAGAUGCUCAGUGCAUCCUGGCUAAUGUGUUAUCGAAGAUGUUUUAAAAUUCAGCUCUCGGUCUGAAAUUUCCUGUGGUCUGUUCAAUCUAGAUGCAAAGGACAUGGAAAAAUCAAGUGCUCAAGUGGUUUAAAUAUGUUUUGGAUGUUCCUAUUUAUAGACUGAAGUAUUUUUCCAAUUAAAAUUCUCAGUUGUCAUUCAGAAGAAGGUUAUGCAUUUCUCGAUCAUCAAUUUUAAAUGCUUAGUAUUGUGGAGUAUUACCAAACAUUUUCUGUUUUAAUCAAAAUAUGGAAAAAAAUGAAUCUUAUGUAUUGAUUUUUUUCCCCUAAAAUGUCUUUGUUGGGUUGGAUGAAUGUUUAUACCUGAAAGAGAGGUCUCCAGAAAAAUCCCCUUCUUCUGGCAAUUCAGUAUCAUUUGAGUAGAUUUAACGUCACUUUCUAAUGUGACCAUAUUAUAGUCUGGGAAGAGAAAAGACUUGAAAUGUAUACACACGCACGCACACACACACAUUUUAACUCUCUAUAUUUAGUACCUCUGGAAUAGAACAUUUUCUCCUCAACGAAUCUAUUACCUCAACUCGCAAACAAAAAACAAUCACCUUAACUGGCAGAGCAUUUGUUAGGUGUUUAAACAUUUGAUUUAUGUAAAGGAAGCUGACACCCAGUUUUCUCAGAUGCCUUCCAUGGGAGUGGACUGAACCGUGUGAGGUGCCUUGCCAUCGUGAAAUCCUGUCCUGUGGCCUUUGCGGCAGCCGUGGGAAAGCAGGAGAGUUCUUCUGCGAACACUGUGACGGGGUGUGUCUGACCGGAGGUGGCCCUCAGCAAGGGACGUGGGGCGGGGGGGCAUGGUUCACAGACGCUGGUGCCACUGCGCAAACUGAUGUGCGUUACAGUGUUGUGAGGAAUCCAGUUUGUACUUCUUCCACUUCUAUAGUAUUUACAGAGAAUCAAAAUAAUGGGAUGAGUUCUUAAGCAGUGUGGUGAAAUCAAAUUAUUAGAGGAGAGUAUUUCUUUUUAAUUUUUAAUUAAACUCUGUAUUUUGCAGUAAUUAUAUAUUUCACAUGCAGUUGUACUAAAUAAAGGAUAGAUCCCUUGUACCUUUCACCCAGUUUCUCCCAAUAGUAACAGCUUGCAAUAUAGAGGACAGUAGCACAGCCGGGACGUCGACACAGGCGCAGAACAUUUCUUCGGUCACCACAAGGACUCCUCGCCCUGGCCAGGUAGCUCAGUUGGUUAGAGCAUUGUCCCGAUGCUGCAAGGUUGUGGGUUCGAUCCCCAGUCAGGGCACAUGCAAGAGUGUACCAAAGAAUGUGUAAGUUAGUGGUACAACAAAUCAAUGUGUCCCUCUCUCUCCCCUCACCCCCUAAGAAGAAUCAGUACAAAAAAUUUUUUUCAACAAUGAAGUCCUCAUGUCGCCCUUCUACACCCAUAGUCACUCGUUGCCCACCCCUCCACCUGACCCUCGCAGCCACUAGUCUGCACUCCAGUUCUAUAAUUUUGUGUUUUCAAGAAUGUUACAUAAAUGGCAUCAUAUAGUAUGUAACCAUAUGGGGUUGGCUUUUCUCAUUCAGUGUAAUUGUAUAGAGAUUCAACUUGCAUUUACAGUACUUUGGGUUUUUUUAUAUUUGGGUAGUAUCCCAUGGUAUGAUUGGCCCGUGGUUUGUUUAACUAUUUACCAGUUGGGACAUGAUUGUUUCUAGUUGUUGAUUAU